UGAGGAAUAUUGGUCAAUGGACGCAAGUCUGAACCAGCCAUGCCGCGUGAAGGAUGAAGGCCUUCUGGGUUGUAAACUUCUUUUAUCUGGGAAGAAACCUCCGAUUUCUAUUAGAGCCGACGGUACCAGAGGAAUAAGCACCGGCUAACUCCGUGCCAGCAGCCGCGGUAAUACGGAGGGUGCAAGCGUUAUCCGGAUUCACUGGGUUUAAAGGGUGUGUAGGCGGGCAUGUAAGUCAGUGGUGAAAUCUCCAGGCUCAACCUGGAAACUGCCAUUGAUACUAUAGGUCUUGAAUACUGUUGAGGUUGGCGGAAUAAGUCAUGUAGCGGUGAAAUGCAUAGAUAUGACAUAGAACACCGAUUGCGAAGGCAGCUAACUAAACAGUCAUUGACGCUGAGGCACGAAAGCGUGGGGAUCAAACAGGAUUAGAUACCCCCGUAGUCC
rnacentral:rRNA from 1 species